UACGAAGGGGGCUAGCGUUGCUCGGAAUUACUGGGCGUAAAGCGCACGUAGGCGGCUUCUUAAGUCGGUGGUGAAAUCCUGGAGCUCAACUCCAGAACUGCCUUCGAUACUGGGAAGCUCGAGUCCGGGAGAGGUGAGUGGAACUGCGAGUGUAGAGGUGAAAUUCGUAGAUAUUCGCAAGAACACCAGUGGCGAAGGCGGCUCACUGGCCCGGUACUGACGCUGAGACUCGAAAGCGUGGGGAGCAAACAGG
rnacentral:rRNA from 1 species